ACCGUUUCGGCCUUAUGGGCCUCAUCAGGGUAGUGCUGAUGAGCAGGAUGAAGGUAACUGCUAUUUACAGUUACCUUUGAUGCCUUGCGAUUGUGGGACAUCAAAACCAUGCCAGAGCGCUCAAACUGCAAGCAGUGAGCGUGCAUAUAUAUAUUAAAGAUUUGUAAUCCAGGCAUAUUAUAAUUAAUUAAAGUUCUCCGGAUUGAAAUAUACUUUUAUUGAGCUUUCGAUUCGGUACUUUGAGCCUUCUUCAGAACACUGAGAUUAAAAUUACAUCUGUACAUUAUUUAAUUAAAGUUUAAUUGCGGUGUUGCUACGUUCUUGUAUACGUCAAGACCGUCUAAUAUUGGCUGUUCCGCGGUUGAUCUGAUCUCAUUGCUGGUUGAAGAAUGACACAUGCGUUGUUGCAAAUAAGUAUGGCUCAUAUUCCAAUAUUCCAUACUUUGCUCUCAUAUGCAGUACUUAAUCAGGGGUGGUGUUUAAAUGAGUAAAUAUGAUUUAAUUAAAUUUUUGUUCAAAAAUUCCAUCAUCAUCUGAAACAUGUACUGUGCGUGUACUCUACUACUCAAUCUCGUUCCCCGAGCCUGCGAUUCUCGGGAAGGAACAUGAGGCUCUGGGAUAAUCCGUUUCUAGGAGGAAUCUGAUUGGCCAUUGAUAUGGAAUGCGCAGUUCAAUCUUAGCCAGGAUUCCUGGUUUCCGGCAACGGAUUAUCCCAGAGCCUCAUGUUCCUUCCCAAGGAUCGCAGGCAUGGGGAAUGAGAUUGUCUACUACUCUGUAGUGUUUUAGUUUGUGUACACGAGCUUCCAUCUAGUGUUAAGGAAUACUCAGUCUAAAUGUCACUCCCUAAUACUUCUAUGUCAUAUAUAUAUAUAUAUAUAUAUAUAUAUAUAUAUAUAUAUAUAUAUAUAUAUAUAUAUAUAUAUAUAUAUA